AUUGAACGCUGGCGGCAUGCUUUACACAUGCAAGUCGAACGGUAACAGGGAGCUUGCUCCGCUGACGAGUGGCGAACGGGUGAGUAAUGCGUCGGAACGUGCCGAGUAGUGGGGGAUAACGCAUCGAAAGGUGUGCUAAUACCGCAUACGUACUGAGGUAGAAAGUGGGGGACCUUCGGGCCUCACGCUAUUCGAGCGGCCGACGUCUGAUUAGCUAGUUGGGGAGGUAAAGGCUCACCAAGGCGACGAUCAGUAGCGGGUCUGAGAGGAUGAUCCGCCACACUGGGACUGAGACACGGCCCAGACUCCUACGGGAGGCAGCAGUGGGGAAUUUUGGACAAUGGGCGCAAGCCUGAUCCAGCCAUGCCGCGUGUCUGAAGAAGGCCUUCGGGUUGUAAAGGACUUUUGUCCGGGAGCAAAUGCCUGGUGUUAAUAGCACUGGGAGCUGAGAGUACCGGAAGAAUAAGCACCGGCUAACUACGUGCCAGCAGCCGCCGUAAUAC
rnacentral:rRNA from 1 species